UUCUAGAGACUACUUGAAAGUUUCUUCCAAAAUGCAUGCAGGUAUGAUUUCUUUAUUUCACCAGCCUACAUUUUAGUGAUGACUUUCAUUUUGUUGGCCAAAUUUGACAUGAUGGAGAAACUCAGUCUUAUAAUUUCCCCCUUUUAUCUUUCUUUUUUUUGUUCACAAGGAAUCAAAGAGGUUCUGGAGGCAGCUGCUGUUUAUCUUGCCUGUUGUAGUCAUAUACACAAAGCUGCAGCAGAAUUGGUUAGAGUAGAUCCCAUUUUUUCCCAGCUCAAGUUUUAUUACAUUAUUUACUGCAGAAAUGCUGCUACAACACAAAACAUAAAGUGUGUAUUUAUGCAGCCCUAUUUCAACAUCCCUCCCCAAUGCUGGUGCUGCUAAAAGUCUUCUACCUAAAUGCAAAGGGAAUAAAUUGGUCUGGGCUUGUGUAAAAAGAUUUUACAAAAGGAGCUUCUUUGUAAGAGGUUUUGUUAAUUGAGGUAUGCCUGUGUAAAUGUUCUCAAGACUACUAUUUCUAGAUGGUUCAAAGGAGUAUAUAAUGUCAGUUUACUAAAUUAUGGGAAAGAAUCAUCCUGAGAACAUCACCCUCAUUCAUUUGGGGCAGCAGCAAUCUCUGCUACUUGUGAACCUGUUUUGGAUAUCUGUAAGAUAGCCUCUGUCCACUUGCAUUGAAAAUUGUAAGAUAAAAUCUGCUCUGUAGAUUUGGCCUUUGGAAGAAAAAUGCUGCAAUAUAGAUCAUUAAGAUGUGGAAGCCCACUUCUGGAAGCUCCUACUGAGGAUGUUGUGUGGCCCACUUUAUUUUUUAAAUCCAGACCUAACAUUUUUGCAGGACAGUGGUCUUCAGUUUAACAUGUUCUUAUAUGUUAUGCCAGUUGGUAAAGUUUUGUUACAUUUUACAAAACUCUUAUGGAAGGACUCCUGUUAUCUUCCCAUCUGGUGUAGGAGACUAGAACUUCUCCUCCUGGGGAAGUCUUAACGUUGACUAGUUUUACUCAUUGCAGCUCAAAAGACUUCACUCCUUCCCAAAUGAGUUGUUGUUGUUGUUGCUGCUGCUGCUGCUAUUUCCCCCCUAGUAGCUCUAAGCAAUCAAGUAUCUUACCUUUUCUCUGAAAUGCAUUACAUUAGAAAGUGUUUCUUUACAACUACAUGCUACCAUUGUUUGAAAAUCUACAGUUUAUUAGUUCUUGUGCAUAUGUCCACAGUGGCUACUUGGAGCUCUUUCCUGUAACAAAAUGUUUGGGCUUCAGACAAAUGCAGACAAAGUUAGUACUUCAGCUUCCUUUCAUUUACACCUAAAGCAUGGCAUUUUAAUAAAAAGUUUUGAUAAUAGUACUUUCUAAAUGCUGAAGACAAUAGAAUACUUAUUUCUUUCCUAGUUAUCAUUUUUUUACCAGUUAUAAACUUGACAUAUCUCAUUGAUGUUAUAGUUAGAUUUACUUAAAUUUGUGCAUUCUAUAUUUGGUGCAGUGACUCAGAGCAGAUAUGAACUGUGUCAGCAUAUGGGGCAAUGCACUGAUCCAGCUGAAUUUUAGGGGAGUACAUUGCUGAGAUUUUCUUUCCAGCAAUACUUCGGAACUGCAGAUAAAAACGGCUUCCUGUCUCGGUUUCCUGUAUCCAUGGUAACUUUAUUUCCCCAGUCAUUGUGGAGGAGCCAAUGGGAAGAGUAGCAUUUCCUGUAGGAACAUUUGCAGAACCUGGGACAAAGUGUGAGAAGCUAGGAUGUUGUCUAACAAGUUCCUAAAAUAAAUCUUAAUAUACAAAUGAGCUAGCUGUUCAGCACAAUCGGAGAUGACUGGGAGAGUCAAAGCCUUGGAAAUGUGUCAGCUUCACCACCUUGGGUUAUUUCGACAUAUUCUUAAGUGUCUUCUUCUGUUGCUGAUCCAGAAGGAUAUACUGUGCUGUCCCUCUGUUUGCCAGCAGUGUAAAGGCAGACAAGCUGACUGCCAUAAUUCAGGCCUUUCAUCUAUUCCAAGCAAUUUCCCACAAAAUACUGUAUUUUUAUAUUUAAGUGGGAAUAAUAUAUCACACAUAAAUCCAAAUGAAUUGAUAGGCCUCCAUGAACUUGCUGUGCUGCGCUUGGAUAAUUGUGGCAUUUUAUAUGUGUGCCCAAAGGCAUUUGCUGAAUUUAAGAAAUUGUGGUUUCUACAUCUGAAUAAUAAUCAAAUAAGACACUUGUUUCAUGGAACGUUUGAAGGACUUUCAAAUCUUCAUUCUUUGUACCUGCACAAUAAUGAAAUCGCUUUUGUUCCUAGAGGAUUAUUUAGUGAUCUUACUUCAGUUCAAUAUCUCAUGCUUCAAACCAAUCGUCUCAGCAUCCUUGAUAGUGACACUUUUUUUGGAAUGAUUAGUCUUCAGGUUCUUAACCUAGCCAACAACAACAUUUCACAGAUAUCACACACCGCAUUUCAUCACCUUGACAACUUGCUAUGUUUGUUCCUUGGGGGUAACAAUUUAACACAAGUGCCAUCAAAUGCAUUUUUAGCAUUGAGAAAUCUUAAAAAACUUUCAUUGUCACUUAACCCUAUUGGAUCAGUACCUCCCUUUGCAUUUAAAGGACUUGACAAGCUUGAAUUUCUGUCCUUAAAAAGUGCAAACAUAAAAAUUAUCAAUGCAAAUGGUUUUUCUGGGCUAAAGAAUCUUAAAAAAUUAAUUUUGAGCAAUAAUAAUUUAGAAAAUAUUACUUCUAAAACCUUUGCAACGUUGGAGAACCUAAUGUUUUUGCAUCUUGAUAGAAACAAAAUAAUCAAUAUUGCAGAGAGUACAUUUCAAAAAAUAGGAUCUUCUUUGAAGAUACUGAAUCUAGCAUUCAAUAAUCUUACAUUCUUGCAGGCUGAAACACUUAAGCCUUUGAUAUCUUUAACUCACUUACAGGCAAAUUACAAUCCAUGGAAUUGUAGCUGCAGACUGCUUGGACUAAUUAAGUGGCUAGCAUCUUCUUCCAUCUCUCUAAAAGUUCGUUGUGAAUAUCCUUCCAAUUUGCGUGGAAGACACUUGAAUUAUGCCAAAUGGGGUUUGUUUACAACCUGUUUCAGCACUACCACAAGGCCUGAUAGAGUCAACAAUACUAAGCCAGUAGGAAUUCACCAUAUUGCCACUACUUUAUUGAUGGCAUGGCAUAAAGCCCCCACAAACAAGAAAGCUUAUGAACAUUUGAAUGUGGACACAAAUGCCACAGUGCCUUUAUGGACGGAGUUACCUACUACGGCUGUUAGUCAGGAGCUUUAUGAAGAAUAUUCCAGUGGGAAGCUAGGACAGGCAGCUUCCGUGCUUACAGCGCAGAUACCAGCACAGAAAAUACGUGUUAACUUGACCAUAGAAGAAAACAGUGCAUCUCCUCCAGAAGCUGUUUCUAUAUCCUUUAAAACAUCUUUAAUCUGUACAGAAGAAGUAAAGAAACUAAAUCAUGCUUUUGACAUUUUAUUAACUUUCUUUAUUUUAGCCUGUGCUGUGAUUAUCUUUUUGAUGUACAAAAUCAUUCUGUUUAGACAGAAGCUCAAAGUACAAAAGAACCCUGACAGUGGAAUAGAAUACUACAGUUUUUAUCAAGCUGGUAGCUACACCAUAACUGAUCCAAUUCAACCAGUACCCCCAAAUCUACUUGGAAGUCAAGAGUUGGGACAUGCUCAGCUUUCUAAACCAGCAGCACUUGAAAGUCAAGCACAGGUCAUCUUAUUUGAACAUUCUUUAUUAUAAUGUUCUGUAUUACAAGCAUCAUCCAAGAUAAAUUCUGUGGUAUUAUAAACAUUUCAGUAGAAGGGUUACAUGAUGUCAUGACUGAAGACACAGAAACAAGAACAUUUAAAGACUGCAUGCUGAUAUCUACUUCUGAAGAGCCCAAAGUGACAGA